rnacentral:tRNA from 1 species
GAGGGUAUAGCUCAAGUGGUAGAGUGCAUGCUUAGCAUGUGUGAGGUCCUGGGUUCAAUCCCCAAUACCUCCU